CAAUAGCGUAUAUUAAAGUUGUUGCAGUUAAAAAGCUCGUAGUUGGAUUUCUGGAGGGAGCGUCGGCCCGUAUUUACGAGUGCGUGACGUCUCUGUCCAUCCUUGCGGGAAGGCACGGCAUUGAUUUGUUGUGUCGGAUCGCAUCAUUUACCGUGAAAAAAUUAGAGUGUUCAAAGCAGGCUUUCGCUUGAAUACAUUAGCAUGGAAUAAUAAGAUAGGACUUUGGUGCUAUUUUGUUGGUUGAGCCUAAAGUAAUGAUUAAUAGGGAUAGUUGGGGGCACCUGUAUUGCGUUGUCAGAGGUGAAAUUCUUGGAUUUACGCAAGACAAACAGCUGCGAAAGCGUCUGCCAAGGAUGUUUUCAUUAA
rnacentral:rRNA from 1 species